rnacentral:rRNA from 1 species
UACGUAGGGUGCAAGCGUUAUCCGGAAUUAUUGGGCGUAAAGAGCUCGUAGGCGGUUUGUCGCGUCUGCUGUGAAAACGCGAGGCUCAACCUCGCGCCUGCAGUGGGUACGGGCAGACUAGAGUGCGGUAGGGGAGAUUGGAAUUCCUGGUGUAGCGGUGGAAUGCGCAGAUAUCAGGAGGAACACCGGUGGCGAAGGCGGGUCUCUGGGCCGGUACCGACGCUGAGGAGCGAAAGCGUGGGGAGCGAACAGG